rnacentral:lncRNA from 1 species
ACUAAUUUUAUAUAUUACUAUUUUAAUAUUUAUUUACCUGUUUUUUGAGAAAGAAUAUUAAGAAAAUUGGAUAUCGUAAUAGAUGUAUUCUGACUUAUAUUGAUAUGACUGUUUUCAUUUAUAAUAUUGUCUUAAACUAUGAAAAACAUAUGGUCUUACAUUUAUAGGAGAGUUUUCAUAAAAAAUCAACACUUAUUAUACUAAAAUAACACAAAUAAAAUUAACUAAAUUGAUAAAUUAUGGAUUUAUCUUUUUGAAAUUAUGAAUGACUUUUAUUAGAUUUUAAAUAAUUUUUUGAAGUCGAAUUGGUAUUGAGAUAUAAAUACUCUAAAAGUUAUUGGUUUGUUUAUAUGUAUUUCUUUAAAGAUAUUUGAUGAUUUUUUAACAACGAAUCUCUUGUUUUUCUAAUCUAGUUAUGAAUUUGUUGUGAUUUUUAAGGCAUACACCUCUUUAAAUAGAGGAUUAAGGGUUACAAUGGUUGGUUAACAUUAAAAGUUGCAAUAAUUUAUUAUUAAAGACUA